AACGAACGCUGGCGGCAUGCCUAACACAUGCAAGUCGAACGAGACCUUCGGGUCUAGUGGCGCACGGGUGCGUAACGCGUGGGAACCUGCCCUUAGGUUCGGAAUAACUCCCGAAAGGGGUUCUAAUACCGGAUACUGUCCUCGGACCAAAGAAUUAUGGGCUUUGGAUGGGCCCGCGUUGGAUUAGCUUGUUGGUAGGGUAAAAGCCUACCAAGGCGACGAUCCAUAGCUGGGCUGAGAGGAUGAGCAGCCACACUGGGACUGAGACACGGCCCAGACUCCUACGGGAGGGAGCAGUGGGGAAUAUUGGACAAUGGGCGAAAGCCUGAUCCAGCAAUGCCGCGUGAGUGAUGAAGGCCUUAGGGUUGUAAAGCUCUUUUAACCGGGAUGAUAAUGACAGUACCGGGAGAAUAAGCUCCGGCUAACUCCGUG
rnacentral:rRNA from 1 species